rnacentral:rRNA from 1 species
CAGCCGCCGCGGUAAUACGAAGGGUGCAAGCGUUACUCGGAAUUACUGGGCGUAAAGCGUGCGUAGGUGGUGGCUUUUCAAGUCCGCCGUCAAAUCCCAGGGCUCAACCCUGGACAGGCGGUGGAAACUACCAAGCUGGAGUACGGUAAGGGCAGAGGGAAUUUCCGGUGGAGCGGUGAAAUGCGUUGAGAUCGGAAAGAACAUCUGUGGCGAAGGCGACUAUCUGGGCCAACACUGACACUGAGGCACGAAAGCGUGGGGAGCAAACAGGAUUAGAUACCCCCGUAGUCCCUGUCUCUUU